rnacentral:rRNA from 1 species
AUGGAAUGCGGCGGUGUCCAGAUCAUCUCCAGGCGCAUGGUCAAGCCGGAGUAUCAAAAGAGCUCAGAGUCGCCGGAGCCUCAGACCAUCCACCUGACGCCAUGGGACCUGUGGCGGAUCACCGUGGGCUACAGCCAGGAAGGAGUCCUCCUGCCCAAGCCUCCGGCCAGCGCCGUCCAACACCUCGCGUCGUCCUUCGCACGCGCCUUGGGCCGCUUCUACCCCCUUGCCGGCCGCUUCGCCGUUGCGCCGGCGGCCAGUGCCGGUGCUCCGCAGGGUCUGACGAUCUCCCUCCGCUGCGGGGACGAAGGCGCCGAGUUCAUCCACGCCGUGGCGCCCGGGGUCAACGUAUCCGACAUCUCCGGCCCGCUCCGGGUCAUCCCGCGCGUUGUCUCCUCUUUCUUCCCUCUCAACGGGAUGCUAAGCACGGACGCGGCCGUCGACCCCAGCCGGCCGCUCCUGGCCGUGCAGGUCACUGAGCUCGCCGACGGCGUCUUCGUCGCCAUGUCGCUCAGCCACGCGGCCGCGGACGGCACGACACUGUGGGACCUCUUCAACACAUGGUCGGAGAUGAGCCGAAGCGGUGACGGCAACAUAUUCACAGCGGCGCCAUUGCCUCCAUUCGGGAGGUGGUUCCACGACGGCUGUCCCGUGGCGAUCCCUCUGCCCUUUGCCAAGGUGCAGGACAUGGCGAGGAGGUUCGAUUGCCCGCCGGUGCAGGAAUGCUCGAUCCAUUUCUCCCCGGAGAGCAUAAAGAAGCUCAAGGCUAAAGCGAAUGCCGAGAUGGCCGGCACGGCCACGGCCACCACCUCCUCGUUGCAGGCCCUGCUGGCGCACCUAUGGCGAGCGGUGUGUCGAGCCCGGGGGCUGGCGCCGGACCGGGAGACGAGGCUCGUCCUCCCCGUGGGAUGCAGGACACGGGUGAAGGGCAUUUCACAGGGUUACGUGGGCAACGCGAUUUCAGGAGCGGCUGCUAGGCAGCCAGUCGGCGAGGUCCGGGACGGCCGGCUGGGCUGGACGGCCUGGCUACUGAACCGUGCUGUGGCUUCGGUCGACGAGGCGACGGUGACAGAGGAGCUCGUGGCUUGGUCUAAAAACCCCAGCUUAAGAUACGCGCCUGACUUAGGUGGGGAUCCUGCCAUUGUGGUAGUGAGCGGCUCGCCGCGGUUUGAUGUGUAUGGCAAUGAUUUUGGCUGGGGCAGGCCGCUGGGCGUCCGGACCGGCCCGGGGAACAAGCUGGACGGGUUGAUCACGGUUUUCGAGGACGGCGGAGGGGCAGGGGGCAUGGAACUGGAGGUGUGCCUCGCUCCUCAUGCUCUCGCCAGCCUCGUCGCCGACCAAGAGCUGAUGAACCCGUCGGUCUAG